UGUGCUAUGCUGUAUCCAAAGGGUGCCAAGAAGUGAUGCUGCCAAACUCCUUGCACAAGUGACUAGGGCUGGAUUUGAACCCGAGUUCCCCAACAAGGAACAGGCAAUGCCAUCGGCCACUUUCCUUGGAGCACCAGUGUGCACAGGUAACUCCAGUGCUGAAGGCAGGCUGUUCCCAAUUAAAAUCCACACAGUCAGGCUCUUUCCACUGGGGUGAUGGAAGUUUCUGGAGGGCAAGCCCAGCCCAGCUAAGUGAGAACACAUGCUGGGCUCAUUUUCCAAAGGUCACUUGACAUAAGCACGUACUUUCCUUGUUCUUACUGCAUCCACACAGGGUGAACAGCUGUCUGACACUGAGCCAAGUGGCUGGCGGAUCUUAACAUCUCCCCAAGCGUGUCCUGAUGGUGGGAGGAUCAUCUGAAGCCAGGAGACAUCCAAAGGGGAAUCAGCGGAGGCAUCACGGAUGAUGCCCUAAGCGGAGGGCAGGGAAGUGACUCCAGGUAGCAUCAGCCUCAAAAGGAAGGCAGAACAAGGCAGUACCCCUGGGUGUGUGUUGAGUCACUUCCAAAGAUGGCCUCUGACUCAAUCCAAAACCUCAAGCGAUGGUCAGCACUGACACACGUCUAUUCUGAAUCGCUGUCCUGGCUUCCCAACCUUCAUCUUAACCCUCUGUUCUCCUCUCUCAACACACAGGGAAUUGCUCAAAGAUGAUUGAUAUGCAAAUACUCAUUUGAAAAGGUUACAAAGAAAAACAGAAAUCGUGCUGUGGAAUCUUCAACUGCUACAAGCGGCAGGGACCUUGCGUCAAUGGGUCACCUGACAAAGCAACUCCAGCCGCGUAUCGCCCCCUGGCGUCCUGUUGGGGCAGUGGGUUCACGCAGACGGCAGGACGUUGCCUCUUUCUUGCCGCAGCUGAGGCUUCGUUGGAGAACUCGCACCUCAGUACUGAUAGGAGCAGAUGCUGCUUAAGCUUAAGUGUUGGGCGCAGUGUUGUGUAGCCGUGUCGGUCCCAGGAUAUUAGAGAGACGA